CAGUUCGUCCCCCAGGCUGUCUCCUUUUCUUUCUUUAAAAGUCGGUGCUUUCCGGGGUCUCCGGUUUCCCUCAGGAGAAACCAACAAGUGGCACCCGAACAGGGACCUCCAAUACUCUCAGCGAGGUAUUGUGAAGACAAGGAAGCGAUCGACAUUCUGUUGAGUCAGGAUGGCGGAGCAACCCAAAUUUGGCUUCCUGGACGAAGAAUUAAGUUCCGGAGUCAAGACAAUAACCUGGAUGACGGACCUCCAAGAACAAAUAGUGCUUAAACGACCUUUAAGCACUAUUUCAGAAAGAUUUGAAAAAGAGAAUAACCUGGCAUCACAUUGAGUCGACAUAGAUGUCCACCCUCCUGACUUUUUCAAGAUCCUGUCUUCUGAUCUUCUAGACGUGCUGAAGAAAUCAACAAUCAACAAUUCAGUUUAAAUAAAAUUAAAAAGGGGGAAUAUUAUGGGAAAAUGUGGAUUUAGUUACUAAUUGUAAGAAGCUUGUGAAAUGAGAAAAUUAAGCAAUUCUCUGUGAAUGUCCUCAACUCUAGGAUUUGGUUACUAAUUGUAAGAAACUUGUUAAUUGAAAGAACUAAGUAAAUGUCUCAGAGAACUUCCUCGGGCCUGUUUGCUGAAAGGAUUGCAGAAAGCCUUAAAAGAUGAUGUAAAAGUUCAUAGGAAGUAAACAUGUUUUCCUAAGCUCUCUUAGUAACCAUUGUCCGGGGUCAGAGAAUCACGGGCCCCUGACUCUACAGAUGGAGGGAAAGAUUGUGGGCUUGAUUUCUGCAGAAAUCGCCCUGCUUUCCUGAAACAUCUGAUAGAGGAGGGCUGCGAUAUGCUCUUGGAUGUACGAUAUACUCUUAGAUGUACGGCUCUGGUGAACAGAGACACGAGACGUGUAAACUUGCCUGUGGCUUUAUGAGUUACUUGUUAACCUUUAAGACUAAGAUAAAUGUAACAAUGCAUGCCUUAACUGUGUGGGAUUGUGCCCCCCAAAAGAAAUUACUUAUAUGCUAAAACAAAAACAGAAACCAUCUCUGUUCCCUUUAUACAAUGAUUGAUAAAUUUAAAGAUGAUUUUUUUUAAUAUUAUUUCCUCUUUUACUAUAUCUCUUACUGUUUUAUAAAAUUAUAGAAGGACCAGACAUCAAAUUGAGCUGACAUAAGACGUCUCCCUUCCCGGCCUGUCAAGAUCCUGUCCCUUGAUCUUCUCGACGUUAGAAUCAAGAAUUUAGCCUAAAUAAAAUAAAAAAGGGGGAAUUGUGGGAAAUGGUAGAAUUCAGCUAUCUAGUUCACAAGAAGUUUGUUAACUAAGAGAAUUAAGUCAUUUCUGGGAAAUUCCACAAGUCUGUUUGUUAAAAGAAUGCCAGAAAACUUUGAGACCUUGUAAAAGUCUCACAGGAGAAAAACAGGUUUUCCUAGUUUUCUUAUUUACCAUUUUCUGGGAUCAAGAGGACCGCAACCCAAUGACUCCAUGGGUGGUGAGAGAGAUACGACUCACUAUGCACAUCUGUGAUGUUUAUGUGGGCCAGUGGGCUUGAUUUUUUGGCUAAAGUUGUCCUGCUCUCUUGAUACUAUCUGAUAAGAAGAGGGCUGUGGUGUGCUCUUUGA